rnacentral:rRNA from 1 species
AAUGAACGUUGGCGGCGUGGAUUAGGCAUGCAAGUCGUGCGAGAAGCUCCUGCUUGCAGGAGUGGACAGCGGCGUAAGGGAGAGUAAUACGUAGAAAUCUGCCCUCGGGCCUGGGAUAGCGUCGGGAAACUGGCGGUAAUACCGGAUAACGUCUUCGGACCAAAGGUGUGAUUCCGCCUGGGGAUGAGUCUACGACCUAUUAGCUAGUUGGCGGGGUAAUGGCCCACCAAGGCGAUGAUGGGUAGCGGGUGUGAGAGCAUGAUCCGCCUCACUGGGACUGAGACACUGCCCAGACAUCUACGGAUGGCUGCAGUCGAGAAUCUUUGUCAAUGGACGAAAGUCUGAACAAGCGACGCCGCGUGCGGGAUGAAGGCCC